rnacentral:rRNA from 1 species
GAUGAACGCUAGCGAUAGGCUUAACACAUGCAAGUCGAGGGGCAGCAUGGUCUUAGCUUGCUAAGGCUGAUGGCGACCGGCGCACGGGUGCGUAACGCGUAUGCAACUUGCCUCACAGAGGGGGAUAACCCGUCGAAAGACGGACUAAUACCGCGUACACUCUAUGUUGGGCAUCCAAUGUAGAGGAAAUGAAGUUCGCUGUGAGAUAGGCAUGCGUCCCAUUAGCUAGUUGGUGAGGUAACGGCUCACCAAGGCGACGAUGGGUAGGGGAACUGAGAGGUUGAGCCCCCACACGGGUACGGAGACACGGACCAGACUCCUACGGGAGGCAGCAGUGAGGAAGAUUGGUCAAUGGGGGAGAGCCUGAACCAGCCAAGUCGCGUGAAGGAUGACUGUCUUAUGGAUUGUAAACGUCUUUGAGACGGGAAUAACUAGAGUCACGUGUGGCUCCCUGCAUGUACCGUAUGAAUAAGCAUCGGCUAACUCCGUG